CGGGUUUUAUUGGUUUCUUUCAGUGUCUGGUUUCCAGUGAUAACGCCCAGCAGUGGGCAUACGAUGAUAUUUAUUAAGCGGAACCACCCGGGGUAAGGUCAAUGCCGACCCAAUAUUUGCACAAGUGUUCCCAUUACGUCAGUGGAAGAGGAGCUGCAGUAUUUUGAAAUGCCAGCAGAAUUGGAGCAAAAUAAGCCGAUGGCUUAACUCGCUUUCCUUAGCCCCAGUCCCAGAUAAGCUGAGCAGGAGUCGAGGGUCUGAGCCUCUCGAGUCAGCAAUUUCAAAUAUUAAAUUUGCAUAUGAACUUGCAGCUGACGCCAUCGGGCGACGUGAAAUGACCCUGAUCAUCGCCCACGACAAACAGUUUGGCUUUGAUUGUUUUUCCAAAACGAAGGGAGAGGAUGAUAAUGAAAACGUUGGAGCAAAUGGAGGGCUGAGGGAUUGCUUCUGAUGCCCCCGGGUGCUUAUGGUGGCUACAAUUUGCUGAUACAUUGCCAAUUAUUUGCCUCAUUUGAGUCAACCAAAGAGCUGUGUAAUUUGCAUUCUGCCACCCAGAGCACACAGAUUAUUUACAAGAUGAUGUAAUUUCUCAAAAUCGAUUCUGUUCUCCACCAAUGAUGUAACCAAAAAAAAGAUCCCUCCAGGCGGUGGGGCAACCAGCCAAUUAAGCUGUGACUCACCGUAUAUUGGCUUUAGGCGAUGAUAUUAGACGUUUAUUGAUAUGUAAUUAAAGCAGUGAGUGGCUUUACUCAGCAAGAAACCAACUCAAGGCUAUUUUGCAUGGAUAAACUAUGAGGCAAGUAUCCUUUAAUUUGCAUUUCUUGUAUCAGAAGCCUUUGGAAACAAAGAAAACUGCCUGAUCUGAAACUUUGCAGGCUACCCUUGCACUUCUUAAACUGCAUGCAGAUAAUGCUAUCGCCCAGUCUGAAUUCUUCUGUUCAAGUUCAUUGGCUGGACGAUAAUGUACAUAUAGUGCACCGUGGGCAGCGUUUCAUAAAUCGGGGCACUCGAGCGUAGCCACUGGCGAUUAGGAGGCUAUCAAACUUUUGCCAAACAGCAGCUGACGACGCUCGUUAAACUCAUUUGUAAAUCACACGAUAAAGCUGCUGCCAACAAUGGAGGCAAAAUGACAGAUCUUCAUUUGAUUUAAAUUUUCUGAUAUUUCAUAAACAGCAUAGAAAAGCAAAUAUAUGUAUAUGUAAAUUAAAUGUAAACAUUAAAGUAUUUCAGCAUGACAGGAUUUUUGCAAAAUUUCCAUCCGUAUGACACACAUAUGGUAGGCAUAACAAGUUCUGUUUAUUCUAACAUUUCUAUAACGAAAUAGCUCUUUAUGCUGAUUAUAAUGAUGAUGAAAUCAAGCAAAUGGCUCGUCGUACUAACUGGGCUAAUUAUUGCAGAAGAACAGCGAACGAAAUGGAAUUGAAAGUGGAGCUCAUCGGGAGAUGUAGUUGGAAAUAUUGCUUAAUAUCAGACAAUGACUAAACUACGCCCCAGAAACAAAGGCACAUCCACGACAAUAGACAAUGGAAGACGAAGACCCCUGUUUUCACCGCCCUUUUACCCCCAACCGCCCCCAGUGGUUUUCCAUAACUGCUAUCAACUGUGUAUGGCGGCGCAUUGUCAACACAGCUGAAAUUUGACCCAUAAAAUUUCCCACAAAAUUAUAGUAAUUUUGCUAACUCAAUUUGAUGAACGACAAAGAAAAACACAGGCCAGCAGCGAGAUAAAAUUAUAGUAAAAUCCAGCAGGCGCAUUUCCAGGGAAAUGCGGGAAACGGCCGGCUGUGGGAGUCGAUUGCAAAACUAGCCGAAAAUUGUUUGCCGCCGCCAGGCAGCGAAAAGGGAAAAUCGGGGAAAAAAACCAAAACCAGCGCAAUUUUCACCAGUAUCCAGUUACCGCACUUCCUCACCAUCUUCAACUACGGUUGAAGAUGCCGCCUUAUCCCCCGGAAAAGGGGCACCACUGGCGGGGGGUUUUGAUCAAAGGGGCCCAACCGCAUAAUUAUAUAGCCCGCCGAUCUCAGCGGCCAUCAUUGCGGGCGGUGGGCGGUCAAUUGGACGACAGCAAAGAAGCAAAGAGGGCUGCAUCGCAACUUGAUGCUCUUUAUAUGGAAAAGUACGCUGGAUCGCACUGGGAACUUACCAACUUUUACAAACAGCGGGUAUAAUUACUAAUGGGUCUUAACUGGCACCGAAAAUUGUUUCUAUCCCUCAAAGAAACUAAAAGUUGCAGAUGAAAUCAUGUCAAAUUAAAAGCUGAGCAGCAUUUAAGUAAAAGUUAAAUCUCGCUAUUUGAUUUAAGUAUAAUAAUGAAAUAAAUCAUACUUAAACCCGAGUAGAUUACUAAUCUUUAAAAUAUUUUCCAGCUAGCCUAAGGCUGUCUUAAGUUAAAACUCUGACAAAUAAAGUUAGAACAAGCUGUAAUUAAUUCGUGUAAAAAAUAAUAUAUGCACCAUACAGUGUAUUCAAAUAUUUCCAUAAAGCAUACAUAAUAUGAUUUCCUAAAAUAAUUUUGUUAAAAAAAAAUAAAACUAUAGGAAAAAUGUCCAUAAUAUUGCUGAUCACCUAGGCUAUGAAAAUGCAUCGGUAGCUUCCUCUGUAAAACAUUUAAUUACCACUGCUCAAAAUGCAGAAGUUGUAGUCAGGCGUGUUAACAAGAUGCACGAACAACAGCGCUGGGGCAGGCAAUAAGUCAAGUUGAACAAUAAACAUAUUCAUUUUUCAUAGAUUUUUAUAGCCACAAAGACCACGGUGCCUCUGGAACGAGCGUCUUGGUAUGGUCAAUGGGUAUGGAGGCUUUUGACAAUGUUGUGGGAGCAGAGUCUUCUUCACAUACAACAUCAUCUCGAGUUGUCGAGGCUGUUACAAAUCCUCAAAAAAAAAAAAAAAAUGGGCGGGGGCGUGAUGGAAAAAAAACACGAUUGCAACACGGAUAUUUCAGCUGCUCGGUGGCGAUUUAGCCCCCAAAAUUACAUUUUCUUUUGUCUCGAUAUGUUUGGUUUCGUUUUUUUUAAGUUUUUUUUUGCUUUCACCGUUUUAGCCAGACUAAAAAAGUGACGGCUAGCAAUUAUUUGGGAGGCCUGGUGGCAAGUGUAUAAAUGUAUCUCGAAAUAAUCUCGCAGAAAUGGCUGCACACGCGUGCAAUUAGCGGCGCGUGUUUUGCAGUGGGGAAAGGUGAGCGAAGGAGGCAUAAAGUGCCUUUUGUGUGACGGAAACAUUUUGCAAAUUUUCACUAGCCGCUGCACUGUGCGAAUGUAUGUACAUAUAUACAUAUUCGUUAUGUAUAAAAUAUGAACACAUGCACAUGUAUUCGCGUUUAUUUUGGGAAGCUUUUAGUGGCAGCCAGCACAAAAAAAAGGACUAGAAAGCGGGAAAAAGGCAAAAAAAAAAAGGAGGAAAACCAAACACGGGCUGGGAAAAUGCCUAUGAAGGCAAUGCCGACAGCUGAAUAAUAAAUUUAGCACGGGUCUUCGAUUUUUCCGAUUUCACAUCGCUUGCUCGCUUUCGAUUUGGUUCGCUUCGGUUUCGUGGCUAACACAACCAACAGCUGACAUUGACACUUUUCGUGUGGCCUGGCGGCGCAGAAAAAUCGUUUAAGGUUAUUUAUAAAAGCAAAAAAAAAUAUCGAACAGUCCCGAAAACACAGAGAUACAUCAGCCAAACAGGCAGAAAUUUGCCCUGUCAUAGUUAAAUAUUCGCUUGAAUGCGAAUUUGCUAACGCACUGCAGCUGAAAUUCAUCUUAGCCAACUUAGUAUUGUCAUAAUGUAUCUGAAUUGAUUCGAAAUCAUAGAAAAGGGUAUAUUAUAUAAGAAUUAAAAGGCAUUAUUUCUAUAGAUAUGAGAAUUUCGUUACUUUCAGAUCAAGCUUGUUCUGUAAUUAAAAUAAAUGUCGAAAAACUGCAUUUGUGAUUCUAAAUUUCAACUUAACGAAACAAAUAUCCCAAAUUUCUCAUGAAACUCUUUGGUUUAAGCUACACAAAACUUUUAAUUACUAGGAAGCCAAUAAAAUGGUCUGAAGUGCGUGCUAAAAAAAAAAAGUACGAAAAUCGAAAGAUGACAGAAAAGGGGUUAAUGCCUAUUGUUUUGUUUAUUCAGCUCGAAACCAGCUACUGAUUCCAAUAUCCGAAUGCUCAAUUUCCGCGUCGCUGUCGCACUUAACCUUCAACUCGCAUUGAAGCCAAUUUGCUGACUCUGGUGUCUUGCCCCCCGAACGAGUAUUUGUCUUUUGUGCCCCCCUUCUAGUUUCGUUUUCACACCUCCGCACACAGAACAACUGGCGCCCCAUCAAAUUCAAAUUUAUGAUGUGAUUCUAGCAACGCGACGACGACUGUCUUUUUCUUGGAUUGCCCAUUGCUCGCGUUUUGAAUGAGCUUAAUUGUUGCCGAUUUGAGUGUGCUUUUCAUGUAUAUGCAGCACACCCCGUUAAAGGUCAAACGAGCGAUUGGCAAAGUCGAGAGCAGAAAAAAAAAAUUAAAAAAGAAAAAAAAAAUAGAAACCGAAACCGAAAAAGAAACCCCCUUCGCUCGCCAGAAAAGCUGGAGAAUUAUGUCUAUGUCCACUAACGAAAGAAAUGAAAACGAGUUCCACAACUGGCAAACGACGAGCAGGAAGGCGACAGCAAAUAUGGAGGAAAGGGAGAUAGAAGCUGUACGGUGACGUGAGAUGUGCGAUGCACAUGCAAUGGAUGACAUGAUAUACAUAGUAGAUAGGUGUAUCUCCGUACCCCCACCACCAUACCCCAUACCCCAUGCCAAGCCGUACAAAACCCAUCCAUAUAUCUCCGAGCUGGUUUGGGUUGUUCUGUUCCGUUCGCUUCAGUUUGGUUUGGUUCGGUUUGGAUGAACUGACCGGCGGGCAGGCAGAGCAGCAUCGCAUCAUACGUACAUAUAUGGCAUAACGGUUCGGUGGAAAGGCGCAGAGAAGUUUUCGGGUCGCUAACUAACCCAGUUACCAGAGAUUCAUCCGACAGCGCUUAUAACUGUGACUAUCCUUUUCAUAUGGGUUAAACGAUCGAUUGAGAUACACGGCGAAAAUCGAAUGGAAAUAGGCCCACCAACAGAACCGAAAUGCAUAUGUAUGAACCCGAUUAAAUGCGCUUGCUUAGUUACUAAAUUAGUAUCUAUACGAUUUUGCUGGAAUUGCUUAAUGGGGAAAAACCGUGAGAAAAGUGUUUCAUAACGGGGGAAAACGUUCAAUAGCAAAAGGUACAUAGAUACUAUUAAAUAUCGAACUAAAAUGGCUAGUUGGGAUUAAUAUCAUAGUGCUUCUUUCUAAUUAGUUCCUGAGCUUACGUAAAUCCUUAACAUCCGCAAGGCCUACACAGAAAACGAAUCGAAAUCGGUUAGAUAAUAUCGCACCACAAAGGCUUGGAUCAAUUUCAUUUCCUCUGCCUUCCGCAAAAGUGUCCAUGGCAAUUCAACUAUGGGAAUCCGCAACUAAUUCCAGUUGGUUUUGCAAUUUUUAGCAUGACCUCAAAAAAUCGAUGGAUAGCCUAGCGCAUUUGAGGACCCAAAGGGUUGGCGAGGGGCAGCGGUAGGGAGGCGGGGGGGCGCCUAACGGAAGGUGUGAGAAAUAACAAGCUGCUGGUUGAGCCACUCGUAACUGUUGUUUUCUCAGCGUAUUGAACACGUAGGCGUCAACGGGGUUGACAAAAAGUAGGGAAAAACGCAACCAGGAUGUGCACGGUAAAAAGAGGAAAUUCUCUAGAUCCAAUAAGAUAUUAAGAUUCCCAUUGUUUUUAUUUUUAUAAGGUUUUAAAAGGCAGUUUUAAUAAGGAUAUAUUCUAUAAGAACUUUUCUUUUAAUAGUUAUUGUAAAAACUAUCAAAUGAACCCUAACAA
rnacentral:sRNA from 1 species